rnacentral:rRNA from 1 species
AAUGAACGCUGGCGGCGUGCUUAACACAUGCAAGUCGAACGAGAAAUCCUUAGCUUGCUAGGGAGAGUAAAGUGGCGCACGGGUGAGUAUCGCGUGGGUAAUCUACCCUUGGAUUCAGGAUAACAUUUCGAAAGGGGUGCUAAUACUGGAUAACAUCCUGAUGGUUUUGGCCAUAAGGAUCAAAGAUAGCCUCUACAUGUAAGCUAUUGUUCAGGGAUGAGCCCGCGUACCAUUAGCUAGUUGGUGGGGUAAGAGCCUACCAAGGCGACGAUCCAUAGCUGGUCUGAGAGGAUGAUCAGCCACACUGGGACUGAGACACGGCCCAGACUCCUACGGGUGCAG